GGGCAGUUUUGUGAUGGUAAAUACAAGCUGCACAUUUGCCCUAUUAACUUACAUCAUAGCUUGUUUCGCAGCUGCUGACUGCAGCCAUCUUGCUCAAUACUGAACCAUUUUCAAAGA